rnacentral:rRNA from 1 species
UACAGAGGUCCCGAGCGUUGUUCGGAUUCACUGGGCGUAAAGGGUGCGUAGGUGGCUGGGAAAGUUUGAUGUGAAAGCUCAGGGCUUAACCCUGAAAUGGCAUUGAAUACUGCCUGGCUGGAGGUUUGGAGGGGGGACUGGAAUUCUUGGUGUAGCAGUGAAAUGCGUAGAUAUCAAGAGGAACACCAGUGGCGAAGGCGAGUCCCUGGACAGUUCCUGACACUGAGGCACGAAGGCCAGGGGAGCAAACGGG